rnacentral:lncRNA from 1 species
AUUCCAGUCAAACCAUUCAAGCAUGCAAUAGGAUAGAAAUUAUACUUCUAAAAGAAGAUGAUCAGAUGAAAAAAUGAUCUCCAUAAGGCCAUAAAGUAGAAGCCCUCCAAUGGUGAUCCACACAGAAGAUGAUCAAGGUCCUUUCCAACCGAAAUAGUUCUACAACCAUUCUUCACAAGAAUGCUGUUGAUGUCCUUCUCCAAGAAUGAAUCACACUACUAUCUAUUUGCCUUUGAUUCCUCCACUAAGAUCAUGCCAAAAACUUCUUCUCAAGUGAUCUCACCACCUAGAGUUUGUUUUUAUACUCCAACAAAUGGAAAAACUAAACCCUAGGUCAAGCAGCCCUCACUUGACAUUUUCUUUCUUCUUCUUUCUCUUUCUAUUUUUCUCUCUCUUCCUUUUCUUAAUUUUUUCAAAAUUUCUUUGCUCAAUCCUCACUUAUCCCAUGCCCAAAUGCCAGAAUACCUACUCCAAAAUUCAUAGGGGGCAUCCUCUAUAAAUAGGAAAUGAAGAGAUGCAUGGGUCUCUCAAGGUGCGCCAACUCUUGGUGCUCCACCUUCUCACAUUGGAAAAUAAAUUCUCAUGCAAGAAUAAAUGGUGUGGAGGAGUCUCAAGUAUAGAAAAGCUCCUUCUCUUCCACAUCCAUAAAUUUCAUAUAUUAAUGGUGUG